GAGAGGAGAGAGUGGGGCUCACAGAUGUCUGGGGGGAGCAUAAAGAAAACAGUGCAAAAGCAUUGUGUUAGGUAGGGUGUGACUGGUGGAUCUGAACAGCAAGGAGGCCAAUGAAGCUGGAGCCAAGGGAGGGGAAGGAACAGCAGAUGAGUGUGGGACUGAUCUCUCCCUUCCAUUUCUUCUGCGAAAUCUUGAGAAAAAUCUCUACAGGUAACUAAUUUUUUCAGUUUGAGUACAAUUUUUCUCGGACUUGUGAAGACUGCGGAGUUGAGCAGUGAAGCUGGCACAAAGUGAGAGAUGAUGCAGGGGUGCGGCGGUACUUAGGUGUGCCUCACCAACAGGACGUGGAACCUGGUAUUCCAGGAGGUGUGAAGUGGUGUCUAAUUUUGUUUUUGAUUUGCAUUUCCC